GCUACUGUGAGGCGAAAAUGUCUCAAAUUCUUAUUCCUGUUAUUUCAUUGUAAUUCUUAUCACAAACUGAUCUUUUCUCCCAGCAGAAAUAAUUGAUUCUGGCCUAUAACAAGUCCUCAUCUUGAUUUCAUUGGCUUGUAUCUCGGACAGCACAAGAGACAUUCUGUAAUGGUUCAAAAAACAUCCCUACUGGAUAAUUGAUAAAUUAUUCAAGGGAGCAGAAAGUGACUCAUUUUGUACACUGCCUAUCAAAGAGAGCAGAGGAAGGAGAGUACAAGCAAGUGCCCAGCAUUGCCACUGGAUGAAGGAUUUGCAAGACUAAAUCCUAACACAUGUGAAUAGCGUCACCAAAGUCAGCUCUCUGGCUCUUAUUCCUGGAUAGGAUCCUAGAUAACUUCAUUCUUUCAGUGACUACUGCUAGACAGAUGCAUCCUGUUGUGAUAAAGCAGACCAGCUGCAUUUAGGACUAUGGCUUCAUAUUUGCAGUAUGACUGACCAUAUGUGAUUCUCUGUCAGGUUUGCAGCUUUAAUGGGAAAUCUCUGAAGUACUUGCACUUUGAUUCAUCUUUUUCAUUGGCUUGGUAACAAAAGAGGGUAUGGCUUUAUGCAGCUGGCUUGCACUGACAUAUGUUGCAGUAUGGUCUCUGCAGAGGAAAGGGAAGCUCUUGCAUACUUACCCUUAAGAGUUGCUUUGGGCUUGCUGUUGGGGUUUUGGGGUUGGUUUGGGUUUAUUUGUUUGUUUUAGGAAAAAAUAGCUGGAACCAGAAACUACAUUUAAUUAGGGAUAUAAUUUUGAAUUCUUAUGCUGAUCAUGGUUUUUAUCUGGCUUUAACAGAACUUAAUAAUUCUGUUAAUUAUUAUUGUCUUCCUUCCUGCUUUGGGAAAUGGGUGUCUGUGUAGGUCAGGGAACAGAAGGGAAAAUACUUGUGAAAGAAACGUAACAAACAGCAGAUAGAAUCUGGAGGAUCUGAGGUCUAUUUUUUUUCCUAAGAAGGAGCACUAUCAGACCCCAGUAGAGUUUUCUGGUAUUUCUGAUCUCAGUGUAAUUUGAAAGUGUAUAAAGGAUGUGUUUUCCAUCAUUUUAACCAUGUAAGGCUCAAACAUGUCUAAUUCCCUUUGCUAAAAAGAUUGUAUUUGUGUA